CUCCAAGAGCCUCAAUUCUCUGUUUCUCGUCCUGCAGAAGCACAAAGUGGGAGUGGCAUUAUUCACCGUCUAUAACCAUAACGGUCACAUGGUUGUAACAUUCCACAGCCUGACCUCUCCUGACCAGGAUGACCUGGGAGUCUCCCAGCCAGGCUACGUGCAACGUCUGGCCCCGCAGGAACGUCACUACGCCUGUUGUGCCACAUCGCAGGUUCUGCAAAAUACGCGGUCACCUCUCUGGAUGCUUUCUUGACAAAGCGCUCAUCAGUCUGUUUGAAGGCUCUGCACAGAGCGUCGCCUACAUCGUGGCUGUAUGUUUCCUGAUGAACCAGGUUAACGUGGAGGUGAUUGGAAGCAUAGAUGGCAGCAUCCACGCCACCAUGGCCAUCGAAUACUGCAAAGAAAGCCUGUUCUUCCUGGUCCUGAGGCAGACAAGUUAGAAUUCCAUCCUGCUGUGAGGGGCAGGAGAAGAUCCAGGAUGACACCUCCACACACCGACUCCCUGACACUCAGGAGCAGCUACAGCCAACGGUAAUAUCUGGAAAGAUCAACCUGACGCAGAACAGCAGUGAUGUAACAAUGUGCACCUCAAACAGUGCUCUACAUCGAGAUGAUUAAGCGCCACUUUGCCGACAGUCCUUAGGAUUUUUGCAGGCGGAUGAAUUGCCCAGAGUCCGGAGUAACUGACACUGACACCUGACAGGUAAUGCAAUAUUUUCUGUUAUGAACCAACAAAACGUAUUUUUUCAUGUUAACCUAAUGUCAUAUCUGUUUGACUUUGUAUUUGAUGCUGAUAUCAUCAUAAAAAAUGUGUUAAUGAAGUUUCUCAGUGCUAUGUAGAGCAGCGCUAUUCAGGAAUAUGUAAAAUAUUUCCAAAAAAUAUUUAAUUUAUUUUUGCAUCUGUCAUUUGUCAUUUGUUCCAGAAAUGCCAACUGAUAUCAUAUCAUCAUAUCAUAUCAGAAAUGGGGGCCAAAAGGGAGCACAGUUCUCCUUAAAUGUAUACCCAAAAUUGUACUAGAAUGCCAUUACACCCCAUGUCUUUGUAUUUAAAAAAUUAACCAAAAAUGACAUAUUGCACUAGGUAAUUUAUGAGAAAUCCUGGAAAAAUAUAAUGUCAACAAUUACUUCCAAAAUGUUUAUUUUUAAUACAGUAUGUGCUAAAAAUUGUCCAAAACAUAAUGAACAAAUCCUAAAAGUAAACAUGUAAAUAAUCUGUGUAGGAAAAUCAUACCUGGGUAUGUGAAAAUAUAGGGAUGUAAAUAAUGUCUGACGAAGUUCAUAAAUAUUAUCCAAAACAUCUGCUGUUCAAAUCUCACUCGUGCAAAACACACAGCUCAUGUAUUUAAAAAAACCUCCCUUUCCGUCCAGCACCCGGUCUGUAUUAAAGAACAGACACUGACAGAGACUCUGCUGAAAACAGUGUGACAGUAGCAGCUAAAUAUUCUUCAAAAGUUUGUCCAGGAAGACAAAAAUAGAGCUCACAUUGAACCUACAAAAGAAAGACGCUGCUCUGUAACUGCAGCUUCUCUGCCUCAUUAAUUUUAUCACUUCAUUUCCAGCUGGAAAAAGAAAAACACGGUUUUAGCUUCAUUGUCACUAAUUUCAGACUCAGGUACGAUCACAGCAUGAAACUGCUCAGGAAAAUGAAAGUGUUCCAGCAGGUCAUUCUCUCAGUCAUUCCUUCAAAAAAGGAGAAUGUAUUUAAAUAUAUCCAUUCAUCGCUAUGGUAAUUGAUUUAAUAAUCCCCAGAGUAUAAAGGGACAUUCAUUUUUUCUUAGUUUAUGGUUUAAAAUACACAUAUAGAGGCCAUUUUUUCCCACAUAAUUAUUGUUACCAUUUACUUUUCAUUACAGCACGAUAAAAAAAUAAUAAUGGUAGCCAGAUCCAGUGUUGCGUAAUAUUGAUGCCCUCAUGUCCCCUAUUUAUUUUCCCUAUCAUCCUAAAAAGAUAAUAAAAUCACUGACUAUAAAACUGGGCAGCCUGCUAUACUUCUCACUCUGGUUUGUAGUGUUGUGGUCUAAAUCACGGACAUCAAACUGCCACAUAUAAACUCUGAGUCUGACUGAGACACACGGCAGCCGUCCUGCUGCAGCUUUGCUGUAUUCACAAUGACUGCUGAACGCCAUUAUUACUCACUGCAAAGACUCCAGGGUUGUUACUAUGACAACUGAUGUAUACAGUGUAAAAAAGUGUCAAACCCCCACCCCCUGUCCCCACCCCCAAACAGACCAAUCCUUGUCAGCUGACAUUUCUACAGAGAACCCACAACGCACAGAGAAAGCAACAGGCCAUGUUAAUGGAGCUUUAAAAGAUACAUUAGAAUGCUGUAUCCGCUGUCAAUGAGAGUUGAUACCUGAGCGCUGUAACUUCAGUUGUAGACGUGGAGUCUGCAUCAUCCACGGCAGACUACAGCUGCUGAAGCGACAAAUAAGUUAGAAACAAAUCUCUAAACCAUAAUGAGUUGACGCCCUCUAAGUUGAUGUGUGUUCAUCCGGACAAUUCUACAGUCAAGUUGACGUGGAAUGUUCCAGUGGUACCGUCAGGAACAACAUGAGCAAGUAUUCUCUCAUGUGACACCGCUAUCAUCAAGACAACAUCUCCAUUUCAAAAACAAAGAUGAUGCAGAAAGACGACGCCAAAGCAGGCUGCAAUAACAGCCGCACUGAUUUGGAUAAUGGACUUUAUCAUACUGGAAAAACACACACACACAUACACUAACACACACUCACACGCAGCAGCAAGGGGUCCAAACAUUUUGAGUUGUAGUCAGAUUCAGUCUGUAAAUGCUCCUACUAAGAUACUUAAGUCUAUAAUUAAUACACACACUCAUUCACUGGAUUCCAGCCAUUUUAUUUAGUUCCUAACUUGAACUUUUGUUCAAAAUGUUCCAGUAGGGUCUGGAAAACUGGUAAAAAAAAUUAUAGUAGCAACAAAUAGCAUUUCAAUGGCUGGUUUGAUGGUUGUGUCAGGCCAUAAAUGUUUCACAUUUAAAUCAGUGACCAAAUUAUUUUUUUUCCGAGAAAUGCGAUCGAGCACAUCAGGCCAUACUCUGGAUAUGACUGCACUCUUUGUUUGCUGUUCAGGGGAACAAUAAUGUAAGUGGGGGGAUUUCUCUGGGGGUUUUUUUUGAAGCAGUGACUGCUCCUGUUCUGUCAUGUCAAUAUUUACUGAUCUGUGAAUCAACACAAAUGAUUGUCCUUUUUGACCUUGUGAGCAGCUGGAAGUGAUGGCACCAGAAAGGUAGAGGUCUAAACCACUCCAUAGUGUGGAGCCAACAAGUGAUUCAUCAAGUGCAGCGAGCCAAAUAAGAAACUAAAUUAGUUUGCCAGAACGCAGAGAUGGAAGGAUACGUUACAGAGCUAAGGUGGUCGAUUGUAUGUUUCCACUGCAGGCAGGACGGCUGGUUUUAGCCACAUCUUUUUAUAUAGAUGAUUCAUCAGAUCUCAACUCUCAAUAAGUGUGAAAAUAAAAAUAUCAAUGUCAGUGGUUCUAAAUUGUUGAUGUGCUAUUUGCAGCAGCAUGACGUCUGAUUGUCCAUUCUAAGAGUUUCAGGCCAAGUAGGUCAACAUCAAUGUUUUUAUGUUAGAACUCUCUCUUGCAGUUUAAUGUACAUUUUUAUUUUUUGAAAAACAACUGUUUCACUUUUUUUCCCUAUUUUUUCAGAACACAAAGCAAAGCAAGACAUUUCCACAGGAAAUUGCGACCCGCCGUUUAAAACAAAAUCAGUAUAACAUCUUUAAUAGCAAAUCUUGCCUGCAAAAUGUGAAAAAUCCUCGCCUCUACCUUACUGCAAAUAUCCAACAGCAGCAGCGUCUACCAUAUUUGACACAACCUGCCACAGACACCUGGUCUCCAUCUCGGCUGGAGUGCAUCCUGACCUUCUUGGCCACACAGUGCUCAUCUUUUUCAGACAUACAGUACAUGCGAGCAAUAGUCCCCUGUCACUUAAUGCCCCAGAUGAGUCCUUCAGCCUCUUCUUCCCAGCACAGUUUCUGCACCUAUUUUUGAUUCAAAACCAGGGCAGGCAGCAGAGCUCAGGGCAGAGCUCUGGCAGCUGUUACAGACUCAUCUCAGUUUUAACUGCAUCUACCCGGUUUGCACAGAUCCCAUCAAAGAUCCUGAAGGAACUGUACAGUGACUGCUAUAUGUAAUUAUAUAUAAUUAAAUAUAUGUCUAUAUAUAUAGACAUGUCUAUUAUGCGUGGUUAAUCACAAAUUAUGUUAUGGGCAUUUUUUUUGUUAAAUCUUUACAUCUUUUUGAUUAUACAUGAAUAAACCCAUAGUUUUUGCUGCAUGUCUGAAGGAAUUUGCGGAACUAAAAUACUUGCAGGAGGCAGCAUCAGAGAUUGCGUUUUUGAGCGUCACGGUCGGUUUCAACGAUCCGGGCUCAGAACGCAGCCGGUGAGGUUAUUUUUAGCCUGCACGAAGAAGCGCUCAGCAGUGAUGGCGAUGGCUCCCACCCCCUCCUACACCAUGGUGACGUCGGGCUGUUACGCAAAAGCAGGGGUUCACCUUUUCGUGCGCCUCCAGUUUUGUCACCCCUGGCGUCUGUUUAUGGCACCAAACAAUUGGUCCACAGGUGUACGGACAGAUACUACGGUGCGAUGCGCUGAACGACGUGCGGUGGAGAAGAAAGAACUGAGGCGCAGUUGGUCUCAGUGUUUUAACUUCUGCCCAAGAUCUCAUAAAACCCCCAAAACGGUGUAGCAGAAACAUUAGUGUAAACUCAAUGGCGAUACACGCUGGUUUAAAGCAGGUGGCGGUCAUUCUGGAGAAAGAUGAGGUGGAACGGACCGUGCCAGGGUCGCAACCUCCACUCACCCAGAUCUCCUUCAGUAAAUAAUGACGCUCAAACCAAAACACCACUGUUGUACUGGUUUUGUACGAAGCAAACAAAUAUAAGCAUACCACGACAGGAA